GGCUAUACAGAGAAACCCUGUCUCGAAAAAACAAAACAACAACAAAAUAUAUAUAUUGGGGGUUGGAGGGUGCCCAUCCUACUUAAUAAACCAUAAAUAUCCAAGUAUCCCAGAGUGAAGGUAUAAGGUGUUUUAUAGAUAGCCAUGAAUGUGAACAUUAGCAGACAUGAAUCAUGAAAAAAAACCCUUAAAUUUGACAACUUCCAUUCAGCCAGACCUGCUUGCAAUUAAAAGUCAAAACGAUGACUUUAUACUCUUAUUUGAUUUAAAAUUUAUGGUCAACAUUUUCUGGACACCAAGGAAGGCAGGGCAUAUCGUGAACUGGGAUCCCACAGGAAGAACUGCUUGCUUUUUAAUGGAGUCAAACUGGGUCCUUUGGCUUUGACCUCUGAGGUCACCUCCUUGCUCUUCAUUAGUGGUUGAUGCUGGGGCAGACUCUUAACAGGACUGGCUGCACUAAGACAGAGAGAGGCAGGAGCAUGGUGGUGUUGGUCUUAAUUCAUGUUGCCAUCAGGAGUUCUUCUCACAGCCUUGCUACUUGACCUUUUUGGUGGUGAGCCACAACUGUCCCCAAGAACAGAGUCUUCAUCGGAAUAGCUGAUGUUGGCCUGUGCUCCAAACAUUGCUACCAGGUCUCCUUAUAUGAUCAGUGGUGUGACUGGCACGCGUCGUUCCUGGGAGAGCUGAAGAGAGAAUAGAGCUGCAGAGCAACACUUAGGGCUCUGGAGCUGCUCUCUGCUUGUGUGACAAAUGGAUUCUUGUCAGCUCUGACAUUAUUAUUUACAACAACUACUACUACUUAGGCAGUAAGAGACACAUGUCCUAGUAUUGUGCCAUCAUGUGGAAACUUUAUUAUUUUGAGACCAUGCAUCCUAGCCAGACACCUUUAUAGGCUUGCUGUAGAGCCCAUGAUGAGCAGAUUUUACUGCUUGCCUGACUGACAGUUUUGUGGUAAUGGACCUACAGCUGAGUGAGCUUCCUUUUACGUCUGGCAGUCUUCCUACUCGUGCUGAUCAAGCUGCUCUGAACACUGUUAGGCAAGCAGUACGCUGGUGACCAGAUCUGACUUAGAGCUCCAGGGAGCCUGGUGUCCAUGACCAGGCCAGCUGUGUGUGUUUAUCAUCAUCCUCGAGCUGGGGGUUCUUCUCAGGGCUAGUUCAUCCCUACUGUGUGCUUAUCCUGCUAUUUCCACCUUCUCCACACAUCAGCAAGAAUGUUCCGGAAGCCUGGCAGCAAGGGCUUGUGCUUAGAUGUAUGCCAUCCUGCCUUUGAAUGCCCAGGGACAGCUGUAGCUGUGGUUGGGAGCUCUAGGGGAGAACCUCAUUUGCUAAUGCUGGAGUGACAGGCCUUAUGUGAAUAUUAUAACUGAUAAGUUCAGGAAAUAAAGGAGCCCUUGGCAUGGCACUUCUCUCUGAGAUACCCUUAAUAUUUUGGUUAACUCUGGUUUAGCAUAGACUUCGACUGCUUAGACUACUGCUUGCUUUGGCCCUCUUCAGGAGGAGGGAUAGUUUGGUAAUUUUUUUUUUUAAAGAGUCACUACAAAUGAAUGCUUUUUAGAAACAGUGACAGUAUAAAACAUGGUCCUGGGAGUUGGCCUUGCAGCGAUUUUCUAGACUUUAUGAGUAUAUAAACGGUAGUCAGCCCCAGUGCAGAUGUAGGCAGUCAUCUUGUUACAAAUGGAGGCUUUGGGGCGUGGGGUCCCAGGUUAGGGGCCAGAGGUGGCUCAGCAGGUCUAGAGGUGCUUGUCCACAAGCUUGGCUGUUUAAGAUCACACUCUAAAACCUCCAUAAAGGUGGGUAGGGAGAGCCAGUGUCAGCGUCCUGUGACACUGUGCUGGGUCCAGGCACAUAGAUGCACACAGUUAAAAAAAAAAAAUUG
rnacentral:lncRNA from 1 species